rnacentral:lncRNA from 7 species
AGGUCCCUGCCGGCUGCAACCCCGCGUCCCGCAGCACGUCGGGGCCGGGCCGAGCGCAGGGCCAUCUCUUCUGCGGCCUCGCACAUCGCCGCCGGCUGUCGGCUGUCUUUUCGGCACAGCUUUUAAAAGGGCUCUUUUUUUUUCUUUUUUUUUUUCCUAUUUAAAAGAAAAAUGUAAAAAAAAACCCUUUUAUAAUAACUUAUUUCUGGAAUAAGGAAUCAAGAGUUGCGGCCUGCAGGAGAGUGGGAUGUGUGCCCUGGGAAUGCACACAAGAAGAGCAUCCACACCCUGCAGAGUAUCUGACACAUUGGGCACAAGGUGACCGCAGGAACAUGGGAAGACAUGUAUUUCACAGCAGCCAAGUCUGCCAGUGUUUCAAGGGAGGGAGUAAAGGAGAGGGAUCCUCCUAUGAUGGAGAAGAGGAAGCUGAGAUGACAGAGAUUUAUGGGGCAGCACUGUGUCUGCACUCACCAUGAGAGCAAGCAUUUCCCGGGAAACUGAGAGAAGACGCCAGGACUGGAAGCACGUCCUGAACAAACAGUUCCUAAUGCAGUCCUUCAUACCACGCACAGUCAUGGGAGAGCAUUUUAGAAGCUUGCACGCGGGAGAAUAUUCUCACCUGCCCUGGCAGCUGAGCUGAGCUGCAUGUGAAUUCUCUCAGCAGCAGAGGUACUGCUGACAAACAGUCAUCUCUGGUGAUGAAAGGAAUGCAGACUCAAGUGAAGUUGAUUUAAAGGAUCUAAUGGAUUCAACAUGAGGGUAUCCCAGAUCUGGAAGGGAUGUUCUCCAACCAAGAGCAGCAGGGCCUCAGGGCCAGCAUGGGACUAUGUGCACAAAGAGACCUCAUCCGGAGCAGCCCACAGUCUGUUUGGCUUUCUCACUCUUUGGAGAUGGUAUAUUUUAAAGGAUAUCAAGCAGCAAAUGUGGCAAAGGGGAAAAAUUGCUACAGACUGUAUUUGGCAGAACACCAGCAAAGAUAAAAUACCAUACGUUCCGUGCAAUGAGCUCCUACAUAAAUGACUCAUUCACUAGAAUACAGCUGGGGUCAAACACGUUCUAUCUGAACAGCCAAAGUUAUGCAAAUAUUUUUAUGAAGAUUUUCUCAAAAGAAAGAAGAACAAUAUAUAUAUAUAUACACGUAUAUAUAUACGUUUGCAGUAAAAAACACUAUUCAUCCGUGUAACUUUAAAAUCAGAAUCCCACAAGAACGGUGUCACUGUGUUAUACACAUAUAUUCAGAAGCUGAAUAGCUGGAAAAUGACAAGAUACGCCCCAGAGAUGCAAACUCUGAAGAGACUGCUUGUUUUCCUCUGUAUUGCCAGCCAAGUCUGUACUACAAAGUGCAUGUAGUGGAGAUUCCACUAUUUCAAAAUAUCAAAUUGCUAAUUAAAGAAAAUAUUC